rnacentral:rRNA from 1 species
ACUCCUACGGGAGGCAGCAGUGGGGAAUAUUGGACAAUGGGCGCAAGCCUGAUCCAGCCAUGCCGCGUGAGUGAUGAAGGCCCUAGGGUUGUAAAGCUCUUUCACCGGUGAAGAUAAUGACGGUAACCGGAGAAGAAGCCCCGGCUAACUUCGUGCCAGCAGCCGCGGUAAUACGAAGGGGGCUAGCGUUGUUCGGAUUUACUGGGCGUAAAGCGCACGUAGGCGGACUAUUAAGUCAGGGGUGAAAUCCCGGGGCUCAACCCCGGAACUGCCUUUGAUACUGGUAGUCUUGAGUUCGAGAGAGGUGAGUGGAAUUCCGAGUGUAGAGGUGAAAUUCGUAGAUAUUCGGAGGAACACCAGUGGCGAAGGCGGCUCACUGGCUCGAUACUGACGCUGAGGUGCGAAAGCGUGGGGAGCAAACAGGAUUAGAUACCCCGGUAGUCCCAUGA